rnacentral:rRNA from 1 species
UACAGAGGGUGCAAGCGUUGUUCGGAAUUAUUGGGCGUAAAGGGCGCGUAGGCGGUGCCACAAGUCACCUGUGAAAUCUCCGGGCUUAACUCGGAGCCUGCAGGCGAAACUGUGGUGCUGGAGUGUGGGAGAGGUGCGUGGAAUUCCCGGUGUAGCGGUGAAAUGCGUAGAUAUCCGGAGGAACACCGAAGGCGAAGGCAGUGUCCUGGCGCGUAACUGACGCUGAGGUGCGAAAGCCAGGGGAGCGAACGGG